ACUACCUAAGUAAAUACUAAAAAACUUCAUAAACUUUAUCUUUUGAACAUGAAAGCGCUAAUAAAGCUAAUGGUCGAUCAAAUCAUUACGAAAAUAAUACAUAUGAAUUCGCCGGUCAUUCUUAUAUCAACUUAAUCAAACUGUGUGACUUCCAAAUGUUAUGUUCAUCACCAUUAUAUACAACACGGAAAAACAAAAGUGGAAAAAAAUAAACGACAAAAUCCCGUACACAAAACUACACAACGAUCAAUAACUUAUCCGGCUCCGUGCUUGCGCGGAAGCUAUCCCCUAGUAUUCACUAAUGACUCAAUGGAAACACCCACGUCACAUUCUUAGUUACCGCAUACGUAUUCAUUGUACUCAAUAAUGUCUAGAUAAAAUAUAAUACUUUUUCAGUGGUUUAUUCUAUUUACUAGGCACACUAAACCCAUUUCGAUAACAAGUAAUAACAACAUAAUAAAGAAGGUGAAUUUAGGGAAGAAGUUAGGGUUUUUAGUAAUUAAACCCUUCAACCAAACCAAAAAUGAAUCGUAAACAAAACACUUAGCUAAAAAUCUUGUGAAAUAAAAUCUCAACUUUAAUUUUAUUAACAUAUGUUACCUUCCAUCUGAAAAACCAUGACGGAAGAAUACAUAUGUUAAUGGUUUAUAAGUUGUGGAUUUAUAAUGUUGAAACUUAGUUGAGGGAUUUUUUCACUAAAACUCAUUAAAUUUUUUAAAAUCUUUAUUAUCAUUUAUAUAUUGUUUUAGAUUGAUUUAUAAGUCUUUAAAACUAAACUAUAAAUUAUAAUAUAUUAAUUUAUAACCGACUUAUAAAACUUCAUAAGCAUUUUAAUACUUUUACAUAUGAUUAAUACGGUUUCUAAAUGAUUUAUAAAUUUUUACAAUUUCUGCUACAUUUGAGGAUAAAAUAAUCGAACAUUAUUCCUGAUACUACUGAACCAUAAAUUAAUACAAUAAAUCAAGAAUAAUAUAUCAAAUAUAUUAUUUUAUUGAUGAAGAAAACAAACAAAAAUAUAAUAUAUUGGAAUAAAAAUAAUCAUGCACUAUUUUUUGGGAUAGGGGGACAAUAUGAGCGAGAGGACGAAAAUCAUGAAAAUAGGAAAAAAUGUGUCAUAACUCUAAAUAGAAAUAUUGACUUCAUGGAUGAAUUAUCCUCCACAAUUUUUAAGACUUAAUAUAACUUAGAAACUAUAAAUUAUUUGAUAUUUGACAACGACGAUAUAAACACACAAAUUUUCUUAUAUCACUAUUACCAAAUAUCAAAUAAUUUAAUAUUUUGAAGUUAUAUUAAGUUGCAAGUAGUGUUUAAAAUUAUUAAUUUAGGAUGUAUAAAUUAAUUUUAUCAUAAAUUAAAGUAUUAAAAUUUAUAUAUUAGUUUUAAAGGCUUAUAAAUCAAUCUAAAACAAUGUAUAAAUGAUAAUAAGAAUAUUUUAAAAUAUUUAAUAACUUUUAGUGAUGAAACCCCUUAACUAGUUUUGAAUCGUAAAAAAAAAACUUCAACUAAGUUUUCAACAUUAUAAACCCUCAACUUAUAAACCAUUAAUGUAUGUCAUCCUCCGUCACGGUUUUUUAGACGGAAGAUAACAUAUGUUAAUGAAAUUAAAAUUGAGGGUUAAUUUCACAGGAUUAUUAGUUGCGGUUUUUUUUUACCAGUUGAAGGGUUUAAUUACUAAAAACCCAAGAAGUUAAUAUUGACUCCAACCUCACCCCCACCUUCUAAAUACUAAACUUUCAAUCAUAAUCAGUAAAUCAUAAACCCAAAUAUAAACUUUAAAUUCAAGUAUCAAAAUUUGAAAAUAGUAAUAAUAUUUUGUAGUAUUAAACUAUAUUAUAUAAAUCUAAAUUAUAAAAUAGACCGAUAAUUGAAUUUAAUGCCGACUCCACCCUCUAAAUACUAAACUCUAAACUCUAGUCACUAAACCUUAAAUCUAAAUAUCAAAAUCUGAAAAUAAUACAUAAUAUUUUCUAAUAUAAAACUAUACUAUAUAAACAUGAAUUAUAGAACAGACUUGAUUUGGGUUUAAUGUCGCCCGACCUCACUUCCACCUUCUAAAUACUAAACACUAAGACGUAAUCACUAAAUUUUAAACCCAAAAAUAAAACAUAAACCAAAGUAUCAAAAUCUGAAGUACAUAAUAUUUGUAAUAUUAAAUUAUACUAUUUUUCUAAUCGAAUAUAACAUUAUAAUCUGUGAAAAUUUUUACACAUGAUUUUAUAAGGACGUUUGUAUAAACGGUAUAAAAUGAUUACGAAUUGACAAAGAAAUAUUAUAAAAUUAAUAAUUUGGAUCAUUGUACAUAAAUGAAACAUUGGAACAUGUUGCUGUUUCUGUUUCGUCGUCCUUGGGACUGUCAAUUAGAAUCAGAAACGUCUCUCCGCUUUUCUCAACACAUUAGAGCAGCAUUAACCAGGAUGCUUAACUGGAUGCUUAAAGAAUUUUGUAUUUAAAAAAAAAAAUAUGAAGUAAUUAUUGAAGACACGGCGCUUAAUUUAGCUUCAGAAGAAGCGCAUCUUAUGAGACACGUGUUGCACCAUGGUUUCUCUACGUCUCUUUCUCUCUCACUCAGGAAACCAAAGCGUCUCUUGUGUUCUCUCGACGACUCCGCCUUCGUGUUCUCUCUCUCGACGAAAUCGAGAAUCGACGGUGCUCUCCCGUCGUGAUCUCUCUCGACGCCUCCGUGAUAUUUCCUCGACGCCUCCGUGAUCUCUCGUCGCGACGCCUCCGUGAUCUCUCUCGACGCCUCCGUGAUCUCUCCUCGACGCCUCCGUGAUCUCUCCUCGACGCCUCUGUGAUCUCUCGUCGUGAUCUCUCCUCGACGCCUCUUUGAUCUCUCCUCGACGCAUCCGUGAUCUCUCCGACUCCGCCUCCGUGAUCUCUCCUCCUGAUCCAUCCUCGAAGAUUAUCUCUCCUCGAUGAAUCAGUCGAAGAUUAUCUCUCUUCGUCUUUUUUGCUCCUCGACGACUCCGCGGUGAAUCUCUCGGCGACUCUCUGUGUCGAUCUCCUCCAUCUCUCUCUCUCGACAGCUCACCUCGAUGAAGAAUCACCUCACAUCUCUCUCAGGCCCAGAGCUCUCCUAGACAUAUCUUUCCUCUCUCUCAGGCCCGGAGCUCUUCUCGACGAAAGAUUGACGGAUCAAGAUAUGAAGGUUCGUCACAGAAGACGACUACUUAGGUUCAUUGAUAUGUUGUAGCUUCUGCUCUUUGGUUAUAUUCGUUGCUCGUGUUUACUUAGGUUCAGAUAGUAUGCAAUGAAUUGAUAUGUUGUAGCUUCUGUUCUGGUCUGAAAUGAUAUAAUUUAGCUUAUGCUUUGGAAUUUGAUCUGAAUUGAAUCGAGUGUCAUGUUCUGUUACUCAUAUUUGUUUUGUUUCUGUGUGUUUGUAUGUUGAGCUGCACGGAUCAAGCUAGAUGAGGCAGAAUCGUCAAACCAGAGGAAUACAUUUGCUACAGAAAUACAUGUAUAUGUCUUCAUCUUGUAAAGUCAUUGAUGUUGGUCACGGGUGAAGAUAGAUUGAAAGAUUCACGGACGAAGAAGCUUGCGCAUUGUGUAGUGAUAGGUUUGUAAGCUAGUGUGACUUUUGUAUCACAGAUUGUUUUUUGAACAUGUGAUACGUUUGUAAGCUAGUGUGACUUUGGUAUCUCUCUUGUUUGCUUGUAUCACGGAUCCUUCUAUUUGGAUUCACGAGACUUGUAUCAUCAAGUGUAGCAUUAUUAAACUUGUAAUGUGUAGCAUUAUAAAACCUUUGAUCAUCUCAUUCUC